CCAUUACUUCUAAGGAAGGCAGCAGGCGCGUAAAUUACCCAAUCCUAAUACGGGGAGGUAGUGACAAGAAAUAUUGAUAUUGGACCCAAAGGGUACAAUGAUUGAAAUGAGAACAAUAUAAAAAACUUAACGAACUAACAAUUGGAGGGCAAGUCUGGUGCCAGCAGCCGCGGUAAUUCCAGCUCCAAGAGUGUAUAUUAAAGUUGUUGCGGUUAAAAAGCUCGUAGUUGAAUUUCUGAAAAUAAUCUUGUGAUUGAUUUAACCGUCAUGAACAAAAAUUGUUUACAUACUUGAUAGAUGGAAACAUUUAUCUUAAUGACUUUGAAAAAAUUAGAGUGUUCAAAGCAUGAUUCACAUUUGAAUAAUACAGCAUGGGAUAAUAUAAUAUGACAUUAGUUAAAAAUUUGUUGGUUUCUUUGGCUAAUGUAAUGAUUAAAAGGGAC
rnacentral:rRNA from 1 species